rnacentral:rRNA from 1 species
GACGAACGCUGGCGGCGUGCUUAACACAUGCAAGUCGAACGGAAAGGCCCUGCUUUUGUGGGGUGCUCGAGUGGCGAACGGGUGAGUAACACGUGAGUAACCUGCCCUUGACUUUGGGAUAACUUCAGGAAACUGGGGCUAAUACCGGAUAGGAGCUCCUGCUGCAUGGUGGGGGUUGGAAAGUUUCGGCGGUUGGGGAUGGACUCGCGGCUUAUCAGCUUGUUGGUGGGGUAGUGGCUUACCAAGGCUUUGACGGGUAGCCGGCCUGAGAGGGUGACCGGCCACAUUGGGACUGAGAUACGGCCCAGACUCCUACGGGAGGCAGCAGUGGGGAAUAUUGCACAAGGGGCGGAAGCCGGAUGCAGCAACGCCGCGGGCGGGAUGACGGCCUUCGGGUUGUAAACCGCUUUCGCCUGUGACGAAGCGUGAGUGACGGUAAUGGGUAAAGAAGCACCGGCUAACUACGUGC